ACAGUUAGACACACUAUACCUUGACUCCAACACGGUGGUAUCAUUUUGGUCCUCUUCCAGUACAAAGGAUAACAAUCAACCAACCUAGCUCACAGGAUUGUCUUGAGGAGAGUGCUUCGUGUGCUGUAAAGUGCUGGAGAAAUUUGAGCUGUUUAUUAUUAUUGCUGUUCUUUUUCUUCUUAUUCCCAGUACUGGUGUGAGUGGAUUUUUUCACCCCUGAGCAGUUCACUCAUAUGCACUCAGCACACCUCCGCUUUACCAAAAGAUUUUAGUCCAGUAUCUUCUGAGGAACAGUGAAUCUCCCUUUAAGGGGGAGCUGUUAGGGGUCAUUAUGUACUGAUCUACUGAUCUACGAGGAAGAUCAUCUUUAGAACAUUACCAUCUAUAGGAAGUCCCAUUGUCAUUUCCAGUCUGUCCAGGACAUCUUCCAUUUCAAAGUCAAACACCUUUGGCUUUACUCCAAGGUUGCAUUGCAUGCUCACUAGCAUGCGAAAUCAGCAGAACGUAGAAGACUUACGACGAUGCCUUUUCUUAGAUCUCUCGUGUUUGUGAAGCCGAUUUCUGUUCCUCACUUAAGUCCAGCCAUGGAACUAUAUAAGGGAAAGGGAAUGGAGUUAUCUUGGGUUCUUGAAGACUAUGCUGGCAUAGCUUAAUCUCUAUUAGGUCUCAGCAGACUGGAAAACCUUUGCAUAUGGGCCCGGUGUGCGACUGCGUGUCUGUUUUCCAAUGUUCAGUCUUACCAAGAACAGAGAGGAUCAUCUCCGGAUUACCCGGAAGAUGAGGAGUGUUUUGGCCAUAGCAACUCCAGAAGACCAUUUACUAAGACAUAGAAGGGCUAUAAUCUGAAUCAGUGGAGAGAUCACAUCAAUGAAAUCACACACCUUUGAAGUACUGGAAUAUGACGAAGCUUAUAGGGUUGUUGUAAGGAAAGUGCCUCUUAGAACUUUAAAGAACCAUAUACAUUUGAUUUGUUCUUAAAAUUAUCCAGUUGUCAAUAGCUCUGAAUUUAAAGGUCAACAGAUGAGAGUGGGAUAGGAGUGUGUUGGUAAAUGUUUAACAAUCAACUCUCUGAAAAAAUGUAUGA